AUAAUACCAAUCCAAUCACAGAGAACUAUUGAAUUCGAUUUUAAACUCCAACUGCGAAUUCGAUCCCGUCAUCUUCAAGAGUUACGCAAUUCACUCGAGUCACCAAAACGUCAAUCUCAGUCUAUGAUUUGAGAGAGUGCGUGAGUAGAAGAAGAGGGUUUUCAAAUGCUUUAGUUCGUAACGCCAUUGUAGCAUGCAAGAAGCUUACAGUUGGAGUUGUUGAAGUUGAAAUCAGUUGAAAUCGGAAGUGUUUGAAAUGGCAGAGUCAUCUGGUUGGCAAUUGAGCUCUGCGCGGGUGUAGAAGACAUCUGUAUGUUAAAGAACACAUAAUACAUAGUGGAGGAUGAAGAUAGAGUUGAUGAUGUCUACAAAGAAGAGCAUGAACACAUGAAGAUGAAACUGAGCUCGAAGUGAGUGUAGAGUACAAGGUGCAUGAUCCAAACAUUAAGUGGAACAAAAUGAAGUAUGGUGUGUGAGAGUUGUACAUGUCACUUGCUCAAUGUAACACCUCAUUUCGUGAAUCUAUAGCCGUAAAUCGGGAUGUAGUAAUCCUUUAAAGAGUGUUCGUUGUAUUAUAAUAACGCUUGAACAUGUUGGUAAAAUAGUAUUAUCGAAAGUUGUAUUUGUUUUGGAAGAAUUUGCUAAUUGAGUAUCAAUAAUGAGCAAAUGACAAUAAUUUUGUAUGACGAA